AGAGAGAGACAUGCGCGCAUAUCAAUAAGCGGAGGAAAAGAAACUAACUAGGAUUCCCUCAGUAACGGCGAGUGAAGCGGGAAGAGCUCAAAUUUGAAAUCUUCAAGGUUCUACCUUGACGAAUUGUAGUUUAAAGAAGUGUUUUCUGUUGGAGGUUUUGGUAAAAGUUCUUUGGAAUAGGACAUCAUAGAGGGUGAGAAUCCCGUAUUUGACCAUUACUUUCCAACUUUGUGAUACACUUUCAAAGAGUCGGAUUGUUUGGGAAUGCAGUCCAAAAUGGGUGGUAAAUUUCAUCUAAAGCUAAAUAUUGGCGAGAGACCGAUAGCGAACAAGUACCGUGAGGGAAAGAUGAAAAGAACUUUGAAAAGAGAGUUAAACAGUACGUGAAAUUGUCAAAAGGGAAGCGUUUGACACCAGUGUUGUUUUCUCGAAAAUCAAUUAAAAAAGGCAGGAUUUUGUGUUGUAUUGACUUUAUCAGCUUUCUGCACUCUUUUCUUGUCUUUUUUAAUGCACUUUUCGUUUAACAAGUCAACAUCAAUUUCUUUUGUUGUAAAAGGGUCAUUGGAAGGUGGCUUUCUUUUCGGAGAAAGUGUUUAUAGCCUUUGGCCUCUGCAAUCGGAGAGAUUGAGGUCUGCAGCGUAGAUCCUUCGGGGUUAGAUACAUUUGUGCUAAGUUAUAGCCUUUCAUAGACAACUUGUUGACUAUGAUCAGUCAUGUAGCUUACUCGCUUAUGCUAUUUUACCUACGCUUAGGAUGUUGAUGUGAUACUGCGAGC
rnacentral:rRNA from 1 species